CAGUGUUGAAGGAGUAAUGUCAGUGGUGGGAAUGAAGACAAUCUUGUAUUGGUGAUUUGUAGUCUUGUAACUACCGCCAUUAUUAGUCACCAAGAAAUUGUCAAUGUUUCUCCAAGCACCAACAGGUACUUUUUUCUCCAAACGAUCAAAGUAUGUCUUCUUACAUGAUGCAUGAAUCUUGUUACCCUUCAAUAUAAUAAGAAUAAACGGAUUAGAUAAAAAUUUAAAAUAUAGAUGUAUUUAGGAAUCAUUUGUUUCCGCAACAAUAAAUAAGAGAACAUGAUUUAGAAAGGUGUUUGCCAUUUAGAUGUAGUUACGAAUAGUGAGAACAAAAUAACAGAAAGAAUCAUAAGAAAGUUUAGAGACGUACAUAUGCAUCAGAGAAAACGAUUUCCAAGGUUUCUCCUGAAAGAGGUGUGAACUGCUUCCAAGUAUGAAGGACCUUAACUUGUAGACGCCAGGAAGUUCUGUACGGACGAACUUGAUUGACAAAGCUGAGUUCCAUAAUUGCAGUGCAGUUUCUGUAAAGAUUGAAGGUGUGGUGGAGUUAUGCGUAGACUGCAAUAUUUAUAAGUGCAGUUUCUGUAAAGAUGGAAGGUGUGGAGAUUUUUCCGGAAAUAUAGUAGUGGUGAUGUUACGUGAUUAAAGGAAUAAAAUAAUCAGAAAAGUAUUUAUGUUCUAUCUUUUCAGAAAUCAUGGGUUUUUUUAUUUAAUUAUUAUUUAGGAAAUUGUAGUGUUUGUAUUUAUAAUCUGGGUUAUAAUAUUUUCCUAUGAUGUGGAAAAUUCACUGAAUCAUAUGGUGACGUAAAGAACUUGAGCAAUUUCACAUUUUUUUAAUUAUAUUGUAUUAAAAAAGUUUGACGUAAAGAACAUGACAAAUUUCACUUCUUUUUUUUUUUUAAUUUUAUGAACUUUUUGUGGGAUACCUAGUUGAUUUUACAAUAUAAAUAUACUAUAAUUCACAAUAAGAUUAUAUGAUUCUGAUCAUAUUAUUGUGAAUAUAUUGAUGCAGUUAGGUGAGAACUGAUGUGGUGGUUAUUAGGUUAACUGAUGUGGUGGUUAUUGUAUAAAGUUUGUAUUUUUAUUAUAUACAGUUAUCAUAUCAAAAGGUAUGUAUCAUGGAAAAUAUUUGUUGAACUAAACUAAUAUCAAUAGGUCACAUUUGUGUUUUAAUAGAAUAGAUAUGUUUAAACCAAAAGAUAGGAAUAGUUAUUUUUAAACAUAACUGUCGCUACAUAUAAGAAGUGGGUUCCUAUAAUUAUGGAAAUAAAGUAGAAUAAAUAACUGAAGAGUAACAACGAUUGUAUAAAUAGCUUCUUAUUGGUUGGUAGGUCCAGUGGCAUUUAAGUAAUAUUCCAAGGUAUAUUGAGGGUAAAAAAUAACAAUGAUUCUGUAUUAAUAAUAUUGAAUAGAUAAACCAAAAGAUAGGAAUAGUUAUUUUUAAACAUAACUGUCGCUACGUAUAAGAAGUGGGUUCCUAUAAUUAUGGAAAUAAAGUAGAAUAAAUAACUGAAGAGUAACAACGAUUGUAUAAAUAGCUUCUUAUUGGUUGGUAGGUCCAGUGGCAUUUAAGUAAUAUUCCAAGGUAUAUUGAGGGUAAAAAAUAACAAUGAUUCUGUAUUAAUAAUAUUGAAUGAGGCUGGCCACGAAAUUACUGGCAGGAGAAAUCUCCGAAGUCACCGGUGUCAAGGAUCUCAUCCACGAUUCUGAUCGCCCAUCGAAGACUGACAAAACCCUAGAGAAUCCUUCUCAAGGGAAUCAGUCGGGCGAAAAACGUGGGAGAAGGCAUGACGACAAAGAAAACAACAAUAAUCAUCGCAGAGUAAAAAUGAUAAUCGGCGGAUCGCAGUACAGCCAUGAAACGGUGUCGUCCAUCAAGGCCUACCAGCGAAAAGCUAAAACAAGCACAAACUGGCCGACCGCAUUGGAUAAACUCCAUGAAGGCAGUUCCGUCAACAUAUCACCUAGGCAUUAAAUUCUCGACUCCUAACGGAAUCGCGGCGAUUUUGGGAUACCAAAAACAAUCGCGGCUUUGCUUCCUGGCCAAACACAAACUACGACAAGUCACAACGACCUCUAUGGUCAAACCUAAACAAACAAAAACAGCUCAGAUAACUUCUAAAAACGCUUCGGAAAGAGAUGAUCCAAAAUCAUCCACGCAUGCAACGGCUGCGGAAAACAAGAGAGCGGCUAAUACGUCCGACGCAAUCUCGCGAAACGAGUAAGAAACACUCACGGCACAAACUGAACUACCAGAUGGCUUGAUCCCCGAAAGGGGUACGUAAGUAACUCGUCGCAAGACGAGUUCAGCUACCCUCCUCUCUAAAAAGGGGGGGGGGGAGUGGGUACGUAUACGUAUACUCGUAUACUCCCACAUUUUAAAUAUAUGUCCAUGUAUUCGAUAUUUUAAAAACUUUUAUGAUAAUAAGAAAACGAAAUAUGAUUUCCUAUGAAAUCUUGCAACUCACUUUAUCGUAUCUCGUAAAUCGCGUUUUGGCCACGAUAGCAAUCAGCGAUUCACUCAAAAACACCCAAAAAUGAAGAAAAAUCGUAUGGCUCAGACACGGGAAUUGUGCGAAUUCAACCUAUCAAAUCCCAGAUACUUUCAAAGUAUCUCGCAGACCACAUAAAGACAUUCACAACACUAAAUUAUUCCAAAAAACCCGCAAACGUUUCGUCUAGAGAGCAGUACCUUAGGAAAACUAUUCCUAACAAACUAUUUCGACCACAACGUCAAAAUCGUCAUUCAGACCUUGUCCUAAAAAACGUGAAAAUCACUUUACGCAAAGGAAAACACGUAUUUUUUGGAAAAGCGAGACGUCGCAAAAGCUUCUGAAGGUAUAUUUUCCAGACAUCAAAGUCUGUUCUCGACUAUAAACUAACAAAGUUCGUUGAUUGGCCACGACGAAUAAUUUAGUCGUCUUAAACUAAUGCAAACCGACCUUCCUCUUCACAGGAAUUUUCACUAGUACAUCCGACAAGGAUAAAUAAUGCGCUAUAAAAGAAAUCCAGAAUUUUUGGUCAUCACUUCCGAGACUUAGAAAUUUUCUUCGGAGAGAUGCUCGAUUCAUACCAGACAAGUCCGAUAAGCCGAGAACCUAUCUCAGACUUUAAAUCUGAACGAAUUAGGUUUAGAUCGCAUAUGGGAAUAUAUAAGCCGAAGUAGUCAUCGCACACCCUAAAACUAACCGAAAAUCUAGGUCUUACCCUAAACCCAUCACACUGGCCUUUAACAUGUCAAGGCAUAGUAUUUGACGAUACGAGAUCCCAAAAUUGUCUCUUCGUAUAUUCCACGUUCACGAAUCUUCGUAAAAUUAAAAUUUUUUGAAUUUCUUCGCCUAAAACGAACAACGAAUACGACAAUCUAUCAAAGGAGUUAGAUAUGAGAUGACAACUCAUAUUCUUCCCUCUACAUCUACAAAAACUCACGAACUCUUUAAACAUAAAUAUCAUAGUUCAUUAAUCGACAAAGCCGCCCGGCGGCAGGGAUUCAAAGCCACACACGGCCAGUCCCGAUAACAUAGAAAUAUGUCGAGGUCAAAAACGGUUAUCUCGAAAUCAAUGUCUAAAAGUUACAUUUCUAUGAGAAAACUUUCUCGACACACUCUCGACAAAAGUUCUCGAAUCAAAAGACUCGAGAAAAAUGGAUCACGAAGUCAAACGAGCGGUCCAAUUCGCCCGUUCGGCAAUUCGGACCAAAUCCUCUUGCCGUGGACCGGACCUUAUGCCUUUUCCCCGAGCCUCGACGGAUCAAUCCCUCGUUUCGUAUCGAUCGGAGUUACCAUUCGAACUUUACAACAAGAACCGUGAAGACUCGUUUUCCCGAAUGAAGUCCAUGGUUAUCGUAUAAACGGCAACAGUUAACUUAACACCACAAUUGUCUAAACUAUACGAGAAGUGUGGACUUCCUCGAUAAGACGACUUCGUAUCAAGCAGAGUUCUUUCUAAGAAAUCGUAAAAAUGUCUAAGUAAAUAAACGGCCAAAAGAGGCCUAGAACGCGGCUAACAGCCCACUUACGAAUUUCAUACGACAGCCCACUUACGAAUUUCAUACGACACCCCACUUACGAUUUCAUACGAAAUUAAGCCCAUCAGUGCUAUGACGGUUUAUCUUUACUUGCGGAAAAAGAUAAAUCUCAAGAAAUCGGAGGAUAAAUGUCAAGUUUCCAAGAUAAGAUGAAGAUCGAGAAGAAAUGGAAUAUUUCCGCGAGACAAUGAACUCGACCUAGGGGCAAGAAAGGAAGCGGGAACCGACUUAGAAGGCCAAGGGCGCAAGGGAUGACUUGAUACUUAGAAAAACUCUCCUAGCUUAGGAAAACUUAGAAUUUAGGCGGCUCGAUUUUAGUUAGACUCUUUUCGCUCUUGUUCUGAGUUCAACUUGGCUAGCGAAACUCUGUCCGUCUUGUCUUUCGGAAAUCCUGUAACCUUGUUCUUUUAUCAAUCAAUAAUACGCCAUUGUGCAAUUUACUUUCGAUAUUCAGUUAUCUCUGUCUCUUUCGUUUUUUAGGUGUUUACGCAGAUAAUCCGGGACCUCAAGGAAAUUAGGGUUUCCUAACUUUCCUAAUUUAAACGAAAAUCUAUAGUGUGAAUUUUGGUUCCCACAGUUUGGCACUAGAAGGAGGGGGGGGGAACCAACCAAAGAAGUAAUAGCUUCAGGAAAUGAAUCAAUAUCUUCUAGCUGUAUAAUGAAUGUAGAGUUACAUAAUAAAUUACUUGCAUCUGUAAAAUAAAUGUAGUUAUAAUUAAUAGUUUAUGAAAUAGAGUAUACCUCAUCAAAUGAACCAUCGAGAAGGUUGAGAGCAGUCUCAGGCACAAUUCCUUGUGCAGUCCAGUCCAAUAACAUGAGGGUAGCUUCUCCAGUACCAUCCUUAACCUUCACAUGAAUCUUGAACCUACAUAAUAUAAUAAACAUAAUCAAAUUACGUAUGCAAAUUUUUUGACUAUUCAUAAACUGUGUUUUGUAAAGUAAACUUACUUUGGGGAGACAUCUGUAACUUUAUGGUUGCAACCUUCACACCACCAAACAUGAGAUUUAGUCUCUUUUCCGUUGACUGUUUUCACUGAAGUUGAAAACGGAAGAACCUUUUUUCCCAGGCAAGCAUUGCAUCCGAAAAAGUACCAUCCCCAAUCCUUAUCAAUUGCAUAGAUUGUGCUAAUGAUUCUGCAUUGCCCAAUCUACAUUUAUAAUAUAUACAAAUUAGUGUUUGACAAAUAAAUCACUACUAUAACAUAUAUUGAAUCGAUAAAUAUAACCUGAGAUGAUGCAAGAAGCUCUGCAAUGUCUUUCUGAGGGAAAAGCAACCACUUAUCACGUCUUAAUUCCCUCUCAAUUUUAUCUUUUUCAGAUUGAAAUGUUGUCAAAGCAUUGGACGGUUCAACCCUGUAAACAUAAAUUAACAUAGAUUCGUCAUAAUAUUCCUUGAGCUUUAUCUAAUUUAUUAAUCUGUUAUCAAAACCUUUUCAUAAACUCAUCUGUCUCCUUUAUUGGUGGGUUGAAAACGACCUGAGAUGCAUCAAACGCAUUGGAUAUCUGAACCUGGUCUGCAUAUUAUCAAUAGUAAUAAAAAAUCAGUAACGCUCUUAUUCAAGAAAAAUAAUAAACACUGUAUUAUUUUAUAUAAAAAGAAAAUGAUAUGAGAUUACUUCGAUAGGUCCCGAUUUUAGCAAAACGUAUUAGGCAUACAACAAUUUCUUCUUCAGAUUGUUGGCUGAAACUGUGUAUUGCUUCAGCAAACUUUCCCCAAAGGCAGCAAGGUAUCUUUUGAUCACUGUUGAAAACAUAUAUUAAUAGCUUAAAAAAUAUAUGAUAUAAGAAAUACAUAAAUUAAUAUAUUACUUGAUGUCUCUCAAGCUGAACUCGAUUUUCUUUCUUUCUUUACCGUGACACUGCACAGUUUCCAGAUCUCCCAACUCAAACACUUGUCCAAUAACAUCUGAUAUUGUACACAUCAUAUGUAAGAUUCGUAAAACACUUUAGAAAAAUAUAGAAGUAAAAAUUUGUAUGAAUGUAUUAAACUAACCAAUUAAGUUGGUUGUAUCAAGUUUUCCACUUUGAAUGCUUUCAAAGUCAACCAAACUAAGGAACAUUUUUUCCUCUUGCAGUGUUGAAGGAGUAAUGUCAGUGGUGGGAAUGAAGACAAUCUUGUAUUGGUGAUUUGUAGUCUUGUAACUACCGCCAUUAUUAGUCACCAAGAAAUUGUCAAUGUUUCUCCAAGCACCAACAGGUACUUUUUUCUCCAAACGAUCAAAGUAUGUCUUCUUACAUGAUGCAUGAAUCUUGUUACCCUUCAAUAUAAUAAGAAUAAACGGAUUAGAUAAAAAUUUAAAAUAUAGAUGUAUUUAGGAAUCAUUUGUUUCCGCAACAAUAAAUAAGAGAACAUGAUUUAGAAAGGUGUUUGCCAUUUAGAUGUAGUUACGAAUAGUGAGAACAAAAUAACAGAAAGAAUCAUAAGAAAGUUUAGAGACGUACAUAUGCAUCAGAGAAAACGAUUUCCAAGGUUUCUCCUGAAAGAGGUGUGAACUGCUUCCAAGUAUGAAGGACCUUAACUUGUAGACGCCAGGAAGUUCUGUACGGACGAACUUGAUUGACAAAGCUGAGUUCCAUAAUUGCAGUGCAGUUUCUGUAAAGAUUGAAGGUGUGGUGGAGUUAUGCGUAGACUGCAAUAUUUAUAAGUGCAGUUUCUGUAAAGAUGGAAGGUGUGGAGAUUUUUCCGGAAAUAUAGUAGUGGUGAUGUUACGUGAUUAAAG
rnacentral:lncRNA from 1 species